rnacentral:lncRNA from 1 species
AUAAUAUGGACUAUGGAAUAAUAAUAAAAAUAAAAGUUAUAGAUUUUUCCUAAUUAAUAAUUAUUCCAUAUACUAAUUUCCUAAUUUAUAUUUGAGGAUGACACGUGGCAAGCACAGAGGGUGCCAUUAGUUUUAUACUAAUUUCCAUAUGCUAAUUAUUCCGUAUACUAAUUUUCUAAUUAAUAAUUAUUUUCUAAUCUAUUUACUAUAUACUACAUUUGAAGAUGACACGUGGCAAGCCUAGAAGGUGCCACGUGUCAGUUUUAUACGAAGUGAUCACCCAGGGUUCUACUUUAGUAUAUAGUAAAUAGAUGAGGUUGUUAGAAUUAGACGUGAAUUAUUAUAAUUUUAAUUAUUUGAUUGUUAAAUUUGUAUUGAUAGAUUAUUAGAAUUUUCAGAUUGUUUUAAGAUUAUAUGUGAUUUGUCGAAAUUUUUAUGUAUUUGUUAGAAUUAUAUAUGAUAUAUAGAAAGAAAGGGUAAAUAAACAAAAGACGAUGAAUGAUUUAUAGAUUUGAUGGAAAAUUAAAAAUGUAGUAAAUCGUUAACCGUCUUUAUAAAAGAAAUGAAUUGUUCAUCGUUUUUAAGAAAAGAAUUUAACGUGACAAAAAAAAAAAAAUUAUAAAGAAAUUUAUAAAAUUAUUUAUUUAAUUGAAAAUUUUAAUAAGGUGAAAAAAAG